rnacentral:rRNA from 1 species
AUUGAACGCUGGCGGCAUGCCUUACACAUGCAAGUCGAACGGUAACGGGCCUUCGGGUGCCGACGAGUGGCGAACGGGUGAGUAAUGUAUCGGAACGUACCUUUCAGUGUGGGAUAACGUAGCGAAAGUUACGCUAAUACCGCAUAUUCUGUGUGCAGGAAAGCAGGGGAUCGCAAGACCUUGCGCUGAUUGAGCGGCCGAUAUCAGAUUAGCUAGUUGGUGAGGUAAAGGCUCACCAAGGCGACGAUCUGUAGCGGGUCUGAGAGGAUGAUCCGCCACACUGGAACUGAGACACGGUCCAGACUCCUACGGGAGGCAGCAGUGGGGAAUUUUGGACAAUGGGGGCAACCCUGAUCCAGCCAUGCCGCGUGAGUGAAGAAGGCCUUCGGGUUGUAAAGCUCUUUCGGCCGGGAAGAAAUCGUAUCAGCUAAUACCUGGUGCGGAUGACGGUACCGGCAUAAGAAGCACCGGCUAACUACGUGCCAGCAGCCGCAGUAAAAC